GGGAGAUACAGAUAAUGACAAUGAGACACAAGCAGAGAUGGAGAGAGAGACAGGCAGGGAGGUAGAGAGACAGGCAGGGAGGUAGAGAGACAGGCAGGGAGGUAGAGAGACAGGCAGGGAGGUAGAGAGACAGGCAGGGAGGUAGAGAGACAGCGCAUUGCCGCACCCACCACACGAUGAAACACCUCGGAGUCCCGGUUGGCAACCCUCCAGGUGAACACAUGGU